CGAAAGCCUGACGGAGCAAGACCGCGUGAGGGAGGAAGGCUCUUGGGUUGUAAACCCCUUUUAUCUGGGAAGAACAAAAUGACGGUACCAGAUGAAUAAGCCUCGGCUAACUCCGUGCCAGCAGCCGCGGUAAUACGGAGGGGGCAAGCGUUAUCCGGAUUUAUUGGGCGUAAAGCGUUCGCAGGUGGUUCUUCAAGUCUGCUGUUAAAGCACGGGGCUUAACUCCGUAAAGGCAGUGGAAACUGAAUAGCUAGAGUGCCGUAGGGGUAGAGGGAAUUCCCGGUGUAGCGGUGAAAUGCGUAGAGAUCGGGAAGAACAUCGGUGGCGAAAGCGCUCUACUGGACGGCAACUGACACUCAGGGACGAAAGCUAGGGGAGCG
rnacentral:rRNA from 1 species